CCCGCAAGAUGGCUCGCCGAGGAAUUACUGACUUGGUGUUAUGGCAGUUGCUACGUUUCCGUUAACGUAUGUGUUAACACAGAUCAGACCUUGCUCCUGAAAUAAAUGCAUCUACACAAACUUACUUGACUGAGGAGCAAAAGACUUGGCCUGUUGGAACUUCUCAGAAGGAAGAGGUCUGACCUCCAAAUCUCAACAUCCAGGUUGUACCCAAUCAUAUACUGACCCAUCAGCACAGAAGAAACACGUAAGAUUUGUAGCAGUACUGUCCUGUUAGCAGUGUAAUGUGUGAUCUUCUGGUUUGCCAGCCCACCUGGGCGUUUCAAAAACCCACCUGGCCAAAGUGAAGCCUUUGCUAGUUGAUUGUGUACCAUUCCUCAGCAAAUCCACUUCAGUCCUCAGCUCCCCGUCACUCUAAGAAGUAUUGCAGAUUGGGCCCCUUUUGAAUUUUGCAAGCAGAAUUAAGAAUAUCAGGCCAAAUGGUCUUAUAUGUGUUGGUGACUCAGCAUUCCCAGCCUCAUCUCUGCUGUUUGAAUGGUGGCCAGGUUUCUUUUCCACACAUGGUAGUGCCCUAUCUUGUGGGUCAGGUCCUCAUAACUUGUCUUUUUAAGUGCUUCUGAACUUGUAAAGAAUAAAGGCAAAAUGCAGUCAUCUUCCAGUUGGAUUAGAUGCUAUCUCUUGGGUGAAAACCGCAUGGUGAAGUUACAGUGCAUUCUACCAGAAGGAAAUCAGUUUCCAAAGUCUCUUUUUGAAUUGUUCCCACCACUGAAAUUCAGGGAGCCGUACAUCUGCUUACCAAAGCAUCUGUUUCUUUGGUAAGGUUUUCUAGAUCUGAGUCAUGCUUUAGCAAAACAGGAUUGCAGUCUUUUGCUAAUAAAGUGUUCUUGUCUUUUGCUUUAGGUAGUAACCUAAUGCUUAUGAACCACCAGGAAUGGUAGAGGUGCUAUGGAUAAACCUCUGAAGAAAAUAAAAUUCUAACUCAAUUUGUGAUACCAGAGUCUUUAGGAUAGGUUGUUCAAAUAUGCCUACAGUGCAUUCUCCUUCCUGCAGACAGACUGCAGGUGGCUGGCUGGAGGAGUAAAACCUUUCCGUCCUUGCUUUACUCAGCGCACUCUGAAAAAAUGCAGGAGGGGGAUGUCCGGGCACUCAGACUUGAAUACCUUCCCUGUGACAGUACUGUAAGUUCUUUCUCCUACAAGGAAGCACUGAUAUUAAGUGAAGUUACGCAGUUAUCUCAAAUCUCAAAUGAAACAGGAUUCCAUUUCCUAUUUGUUAUCACUUCCAGCAGCACAGCGGCCGUUCCAGAUGAGUGCAAUUUUAUGUUCUCUGAUGACUUUCUUGCAAGUCUUCCAACCUUGUCCACUCUGGUCUGUGCUUUGUUUUUUGUUGCUGCAGCUAUUUCUCAGCUUGAGGUAGUGGCUGCUUCACCCACACGUGCUAUUUUUCCCCAGACCAAGAACACGGAGACAGCAGAUAUCCAGGCACUCACAGAACCAAACACAGCAAAGCCUGGUGCUUUUUGGGCUGGUACCAGAGGCAGUCUGGCAGUGUAGGAAAUUCUUCUCCAAACCAAUGUUGUGUUGGCCAUCUUGUAUUUUGUAUAAUUACUGUAAGUCCCUCAGUUCUAAUUGUACCAGCGCUACUCCAGCUGACUGUUGCUCUUGUGUGUAUUGGGCUUUGACAGUGGGUCUGUGGCUUAGGACUAAACUGUGAAAUGUAAGUUUAAAAAACUGCAAAACAAAAAUGAAGUUUCUCACGCAGUAACAAUGACUGAUGAACACGUGCUAAGCCAAAAAAAUGGUACCUUCUGCUAGUAAAAAUAAUAGUAAUAAAAUACUCAAACAGAUGUCUUCCAGACCUUUGGAAAAAAGGAGGCUUAAAACGCAUUCAGAGUGGCUUCACCUUAACUUUGCAAUUGAUAGCCAAUGCAGAGUUACAAAUUCCUUGUUUCAGGGAGUUUGAAACCAGCCAGCUUCCACCAGGGCCUUGAAAGGGAGGGUCCGCUCAGUGCCCCUGAGCCACCCCCCUGCACAGCUUGCCCAGCUGUGACCCCUGGCAAGCCCAGCACGCCUCGGGAGCCCCUCUGCCGCCCGUCAGCCAGGACCAGCAGCAGGAACCAGAGGCAGGAGGCUCUUGCGGGGUUGGAGGAUGGAGGGGACUUUCCUUCUGUUUGAUGGGACCCAAAGAAAACCAUGAAAAAAGUUGCUCCAGUGAGAGGCAGACUGGAGGAAAGGACCUGCCACGCAAGCCAGUGACUCGGGGAAGGGAGUCAUUGAUGAACCCGUGGCUUUAAUCUGUCUCACCUAAAACCUCUUCCUCUUCUGUUUAUGUUAUAAUAAAACAAUGAAGACUGAAAAUGCUGAACACAGUGGUUCUAGGUAUAGUGACCAUACAGGGAAGACAUACAUAGGCUUGUGUCAAAGCUCUGGUUGAUUUGGUAUUCGGUCAUGACAUGCAAGUUGAGUUAAGCGCAGUGCAAGAGAGACUCCUACUUUCUUUUAAGUCUACGGGUAUUUUUCUAAGUACUGUUUCACCUGCAUGUGUGAAAUUUGCCUUUGAAAGAUACCCAUUAGCAGGUGUGUGGAUUUGGCCCCUGCUUAUCAAGGACCACAGGCUGGGAGUAUGCGCCAUGUGUUUGAUGGCCUCAUGCAGGACUGAGGUGGAUGCCUCCAAGCUCUCCCAAGUGGGGCACAGGAGUGACAGACACCUUCUUUUGCUGCUGUGCGAUAGCAUAGAGCAGCUUCACUGACCUCUUGGAGCAAAUGAUACACCCUCCAGGAAGCAGCAGUCACAAAAAAUGUGGAAAUUGCUUUAGUAGCCAGAAGAAAAUUGCUUUGAACUAUGCUGUGAAAAUGUUGCCCUGAGUAGCAAAGUCAGCCCUAAGUCAUCCCUAUGUAAUGAUGGGCAGGUGUACAGGUGAAUGCCUUGGCAGGUAAAUUUGGUGGCUCUCAAAGCAAAAUACAUGUUAGGGAUCUUCAACCAGGUUCAUAAAUACAAGGAUCUUUCUUGCCAACCUGUCUGGGACAGUGGGCAGGACACCUGGCUUACGCUGCUCUGAAAACACAGCCUGGCUUAACCAGAGGGGUAGCUGCUCUCGUGUUGUCUCCCGAACAAAUUUCAGUCUGGAAGCGCGAUGAUGUUUCAAAUACAGCUUUGUCAUGGCAACAAAAAUGGCCUUCAGACAUUUG